rnacentral:rRNA from 1 species
AUUGAACGCUGGCGGCAUGCUUUACACAUGCGAGUCGAACGGUAACAGGGAGCUUGCUCCGCUGACGAGUGGCGAACGGGUGAGUAAUGCGUCGGAACGUGCCGAGUAGUGGGGGAUAACGCACCGAAAGGUGUGCUAAUACCGCAUACGUACUGAGGUAGAAAGUGGGGGACCUUCGGGCCUCACGCUAUUCGAGCGGCCGACGUCUGAUUAGCUAGUUGGUGAGGUAAAGGCUCACCAAGGCGACGAUCAGUAGCGGGUCUGAGAGGAUGAUCCGCCGCACUAGGACUGAGCCACGGACCAGACUCCUCCGGGAGGCAGCCGUGGGGAAUUUUGUACAAUGGGCGCAAGCCUGAUCCAGCCAUGCCGCGUGUCUGAAGAAGGCCUUCCGGUUGUAAAGGACUUUUGUCCGGGAGCAAAUGCCUGGUGUUAAUGGCAUCGGGAGCUGAGAGUACCGGAAGAAUAAGCACCGGCUAACUACGUGCCAGCCGCCGCGGUAACAC